UGUGAAUUUCCCUUACCUGACGUUGGGUCUCCUGCUGUCGGAUUGAAUUUCACACCAACCUAAAGGCUGCCCACAGAAGUCAGUGAUACUGCAAGGGGUGGGCAACAUAUACCAGCCAAGGUGCUGUUUUAUUAAAAUUGCUGAGCCGUCUUGUGGUUCGUCGCUGGAAAUUAUCAGCUAGUAGUGACAGGUGCGAGCAGACACCAAGUCAGGGUUACAUAGGGAAUGUCGCAAGUACGAGUAAGCCAUCAAGUUACACCAUUAUGGCAAACGGCGAUGGCCUGAACCCCCCACUGAGCCCUUAAUGUGACCCACCACGCCGCCGCCAUCACCGUCACCACAGCCACUACCAUCUACCAGGGGAGGGGGCCUUUGCCACCGCUCCCAUCACACCAUCACGCUACCCGCCUCGCUGUCUUGCUGUUACAAGCAUC